UCCGUAGGCGGGCAAUUAAGUCAGAGGUGAAAUCCCACAGCUCAACUGUGGAACUGCCUUUGAUACUGGUUGUCUUGAGUUACAGUGAAGUAGAUGGAAUAUGUAGUGUAGCGGUGAAAUGCAUAGAUAUUACAUAGAAUACCGAUUGCGAAGGCAGUCUACUAACUGUAUACUGACGCUAAUGGACGAAAGCGUGGGGAGCGAACAGGAUUAGAUACCCUGGUAGUCC
rnacentral:rRNA from 1 species